CAAACUUUCUGCUGCCACCCAAUCCGUCGCUUGGCGGCGUGACGUUCGCACUGUGACGCUACUUUUGUAUGUAAACCGUUGUAACCCAGUUGCAACGACUAUUGUUUGCUGGACACGAGACGUAUUGGGAGCGGAGCAGAGCGGCGAAUAUUUCAGGUUGGUCACCAUCGUUAGGUACCGCUAGCUACAGCUAGGUACCGUCAUAUGAGCAUCGGUGAUGAUGGACCAACGCGUGCAUAAUCAAGAGACUCGGUCUCGGUAGAGUCUCGGGACAAGUACAUUGACAGCCCUGUUAAAAAAUAUGUGUCCAAACAUGCACUUUUGACGUUGCACGGUCCAAAAAAUAUAUUCCCAUAAACCAAAAAUGAUUUCUUAAUAAAUUAUUAAAUGUAACACAGAACGAACGUCGUUGCUACAGAACAAGAUUUGAAAUAUUUUUAUUGACACUCAUUUUCAAUAAUGUAAGAUAAAUUUUUUUAAAUAAAUAUAUGUAACUCAUUUUAAUAAACUAAA